GCUCAGAUGGUGUAACGGUAACACAUCAGGUGCGAAGAGUAGGCAGCCUUCGGGAGUUGCAGAUCCUUGUGAUCACUACUAGCAAAGAGGCUGCGCCCGCAAGCCAAAUGCUUCUCGAAGAUCAAGGUUCGAGUCCUUGUCUGAGCA